rnacentral:rRNA from 1 species
UGGGGAAUAUUGGACAAUGGGCGAAAGCCUGAUCCAGCCAUGCCGCGUGUGUGAAGAAGGCCUUAUGGUUGUAAAGCACUUUAAGUGGGGAGGAAAAGCUUAUGGAUAACACCCAUAGGUUCUGACGUUACCCACAGAAUAAGCACCGGCUAACUCUGUGCCAGCAGCCGCGGUAAUACAGAGGGUGCAAGCGUUAAUCGGAAUUACUGGGCGUAAAGCGAGCGUAGGUGGUUUAUUAAGUCAGAUGUGAAAUCCCUGGGCUUAACCUAGGAACUGCAUCUGAUACUGAUAAACUAGAGUAGGUGAGAGGAAAGUAGAAUUCCAGGUGUAGCGGUGAAAUGCGUAGAGAUCUGGAGGAAUACCGAUGGCGAAGGCAGCUUUCUGGCAUCAUACUGACACUGAGGUUCGAAAGCGUGGGUAGCAAACAGGAUUAGAUACCCUGGUAGUCCACGCCGUAAACGAUGUCUACCAGUCGUUGGGUCUUUUAAAGGCUUAGUGACGCAGUUAACGCGAUAAGUAGACCGCUUGGGGAGUACGGCCGCAAGGUUA